GAAGUGCGACAAGUGUCAUGACUUGCAGAUUCCCGAGAGCUGACAAAUUUCUGAAUGCAAAUGGCGGCUGUCAAAAACGGCCAUGUAUGGCAGAGUGUAGUUGUUCAUACUAAUCAUCCCCUUCUCAUCAUACGUCUGGUGAUUAGGCUAGGGAUCUGCGCUUACGACUCUUUGCGUGAGUGUGAAAAAUCGAGCCCUCGUCAAGAGAGAGUCUGACUCUCUCUUGAUGGGGUGACUUCGGACUUUUCUCAGUCUUCGGGCUGAGAGACCACCUGAAGUUGCUAGCGCUCAAUACUUUAGGAAUCUACCUCUGCCAUGCAGGAUAACCCGCUGAACUUAA
rnacentral:misc_RNA from 1 species